UGUGGGAGCGGGCUUGCUCGCGAUAGCAUCACUGCGAUGUGCCUGAUACACGGCGUUGUUUGCAUCGCGAGCAAGCCCGCUCCCACA
rnacentral:antisense_RNA from 1 species